GUGACCUUGGUGUAAUGGCAACACAACAGUUUGUGGUACUGUUAUCAGGGGUUCGAAUCCCCUAGGUCACC
rnacentral:tRNA from 1 species